rnacentral:lncRNA from 1 species
UUCUGUACAGAUAUUAUGGAUUUCUAAAGGCAGUCACAGCUUUAAUUGGAAUAUUUGGGGGCCUAAUUUCUUCAACUCUUGCUGGGUUGAUCCUUAAUCAGGAUCCAGAAUAUGCUUGGCAUAAAAACUUCUUCUUGAUGGCAGGCAUUAACGUGACAUGCCUGGCUUUCUACCUUCUGUUUGCAAAAGGAGAUAUUCAGGACUGGGCUAAAGAAACAAAAACCACACGGCUGUGAAGUUAGUAGAAGAGUGAGCACCUGAGAAGCAUGAGGUCAGCAUCCAUAUUGAAAGGAAGAGGAUUCUGUGUGGGACUGCAGUCAUGGGAGUCAUGAACACCUGAAGACCGGUAGCCUGAAGCUUUUAAGGGAGUCAUUGCCUCCCACUUUAGUCUGAGUGAUUCUUUUGCACUGUGUAUUGUGUGUAACAAGUUAUACUUCUGACUUUAAAGAGGAAUCUGUCUGUCUUCCUAUGAUCCAAUAAACAAACAUAAGCCAAA